rnacentral:lncRNA from 1 species
AUUUGAAAAUACCCGAGUAGAGCUGCAAAUCAGUUGGGGAGAGAGGAUUUUGCCUGCCUUCUUCCUUAUUAUUUUGCUGCUGCAAGGCUGCUUUGCAAUCCGUAGGAAAUACUGUUGUGCUGAGGAAGGAAACGGCUCCCUGCUCUCUCUUUUUUUUUUUCUUUCGCUCUCCUUUCUUCUUGCCUGAAUUAGAAGCUCCAGGAAUGUGCUAAUUGGCAGCGGCCUCUUCAGAAAGGAAAAUGAAUCUUGUUAUGUGAGGGCACUGAGGAGGAAACAGUCCCCAGCUACCAAGAGGAAGAAAGGCCGGUGGGAAAUACACAGGAAUGCUUGCGGAGGGAGGCCUGUUGCUGUCCCAUUCGGUGGGGCACUAGAGCCCCAGAGGUCAGCUGUGGGCACUGGGCUGCUGAACCUGGGACAUCCACUGGGAAACAUGAGAAAGCUUUGGAGUGAC